UUGCUGUUGAUGUAAUGAUUCGGCAUUUUUAAAUGAUAAAAAAUAUUUUUUGGGAAAUUUUUAUAGUAAAUUUUUAAACUAGCAUAUAUAUAUAAUAAUAUUACAAAUUAAAAAGAAAAAAGAAAGAGAGAGACAUCGCAGUUGAGAGAUAUCGACCAAAAAUUUAAAAAAAAAAUUAAAAAAAAAGGCAAGAGGGAGUAGUGUUGGAGAGAGAGGGAGAGCAGGCGGUCGGUGUCGAUAGGCGGAGAUGGUGGCGCUGUUGACGCAGAAGCAGUCGGGGCACUCCCAGCGGACAACGUUGGGCGGCGGCGGCCGGCGGUUUCGUAGGGAUUGAGUGGAGCUCUCUGCUGCUGCUGCUGCUUCUUUCUCUUGUUCUUGGUUCUCGCAGGGAUUCGGCGGAGAUAGGUCUGAGUUGCGGGUGGAGCGCCCCCAUCCCCGGUUUCCCCUCUACCUGGAUGGUGGAAGAUACACACUAAUGCAAGUUGGAGAGGCUCCAAUGCAACUGUCGCUAGGGUGGCCCAAUCCUAUAAUGGAGAAAUUCUUCGAUCAUGGUACUCCACAGUCUUGGCAGCAACCCCACUCCAUGCAGAAGCACGAGUGAUCCUUCUUGCUACCUCACUAGCUCUCAACUCCGACUGCUCGAAAAUUUGGCUAGUUAGUGAUUUUUAGUAGUAGUUAAUGCUUUGAGUAGCCCGAGGAACGUCUUCUAGGAAAUUAGGAAUAUCAUCCUAGACAUUUUGAAACUUUUCUCUUAUUUCUCAAAGUGGCAAUGUACUUGGAUCUCCUACAUUUUGAAUCCAUUUAUGCCAAUUUGGCAAUACAUCAAAUUUUGUUUU